AUCUCACUUUCUCCCAUCUCCAUUCUCUUCUCACAUUUCCAUUCUCGUCUCUUUUUCCUGUCUAGUUGUCGAGGGAUCGAGGUCUCUUUCUUUUCCGUUUCGAGUUAUUUGGGUGUAUGAUUUCUCGCUAGGUGUUGGGCUGGUUGUUGGGUACUGAAUUUUCAGUAGAAAGCCUUUGCUGGGCACUUAAGUUUGUUACUACCCAUAUACUUAAUUUUGUUACUGCAUUCCAGGUGUUUGAUUCAUUGCUCGGUGAUGGGUGUUUGAGUUAUUUUGCUAGGUGUUGGGGGCUGGUUAUUGGGUACAUAAUUUUGGUUGUGGGCACUUAAUUUUGAGUACAAAGUCCUUGCUGGGUUCUCUUAAGGCAAAUAUAGUUGUGUGGGAUUUUGUGCUCUGCUGCAUCCUGACAUCAGAGUUAUCAGAGUUGUAGCCAGACUUCCGUGUGAGGAGGAGUUGCAGAGGCAAGUAUCAGAUGGGUCAUGGACUCCAAAAGGCCACGAUGACGUAUUGACCCGUGCACUUGGCAGUAAAGAGCAUGGAGGACGUGUCAGAGGGGUCGGUGGUGGAGCCAAACUUAAGGAUGUAUUUGGAUCGGGAAAAAGCAAACAUAGUGGCGUUGUUUCGGUGGAUGAGUUGGCCACGAUUACACAAGAAAUCACUAAGAAAGUUCAGAAGGAGUGCGAGGAGAGGAUGAAUGAAAUGGUGAGGAAGAAUGAAAUGGUGAAUUUAAAGCUAGAAAGUAUAUUUAAUCAGUUGAACCAGAUGGGUGUGAAAAUCCCUGAUGAUCAUUUUUUAAAUGAUGUUGGUACACCGAACAAUGAAAAUGUUCGAAGCAGUUGCCAGUCGGUAUAUCGGGAAGAUCAUUUCACAAAUGUCAAGAAUCCAACACUUUGUUGUCUUUGGGUGAUACACGUAGAGAAAGGAAGAGUUGUUGUGGCAAGGGGGACUGUAUUCCCGUCAAAUAGUCAGGGUGUUAAUAUGAUUCAUAAUAUUCCGAUGGCAUCACACAAUGUUAGAGUAUCAAUUGAUGAUGUUGUACCUGAAUAUCAACUUACUCCACUUCCUGUGUCAUGUGAUGAACAUGAUAAUAUAGGAAAUGCAGCGGGCAGUUUUGUUCAAUGGCCAAAGGACCUUGUGACAUUAGGGCAGGAUCCUAUAUCAUUGGAGAAGAAAAAAAGCCAUAAGAUGACACCAAAAGCAAAAGUACAUGACUCAGAAAAGGUUGAAAGUAAAGGGUCUGUGACUCCCGUGAAGAAAAACCGGCCAGUAAUUGUUGAUGACAUAAGUUUAAGUGAGCAUUGUGCAGGUUUAAGUUUCUUGCUCAAAAAAAGGCCCCUAAUAAAAAAGGUGAUGUCUUUACGUAUGAAGAAAAUGGAGAAGAUCUGAUACACAUUACACCCGAAGAUGUUGAUCAGUUUUUGAAAAUGAGAUGGUUAAAUACUCCAAUAAUUGAAAUUUUCCUGAAGUACGUUAGCACGUUGUGUAAACAGUUGAAGGAUGAUACAUUUGCAUUCAUGUUGCCAUCCAGAUUAGCCAUGCCACAUAAAUGUCACCAGCAACGACAAGAUGAAGCAAUAGACUAUUUGUCAGAUUUUUUGGUUGCCAAUAGAAAUAAGCGUUAUAUUUUGGCACCGUACAUCCAAGAGGACCACUGGAUGUUGCUCCUUUUUUGUCUCCAUGAAAGUGCUAUCUACGUGUUUGAUCCAUUGAAAAAAGAUAGGACAAUACGGUUAAAAACACCUGCAAGAAUGGCAUUUAAAUUAUACGUAUCUCAAGGUGGACAGAGGAAUAACAAAAAAGAAUUUCUUUGGCAUCACACCGAGGUUAAGUGUCCGCAACAAGGAGAUAUGGAUUCUGGUUUUUUUGUUAUGAGAUACAUGUAUGAUAUAGUCAUGCUUUCUCAGAAACAACCCGACAUGAACUGGAAAGUGGGUCUUGGUUCAAGAAACUAUACAAGAAAGGAAAUCAAUGAGGUUCGAGAAUUGUGGGCAAAAUUUUUCUCUUUAGAAUGUCUAUAAUAAGGUAAUCUUGUCAUCGGCCUUGUCGUUUGAAGUCCUUACAGUUCAAGCAUUUAAGUUCUUGCCUGCUGCAGUACUGUGAUAUACAAUCACUGGUCCUUGAAGAUCUUGAACUUCUUGCUAGAGACAGUGUGUUUGGAUUCAUUUGUAACAAUCUGAUAUCAUGAAGGUUUUUUUGUGGCAUUUAAUGUGUAAUGUUUCUUUCAAGUGUAAACUAGGACAUAAUUAAUUCUUGAUAUAAUUGUUUAAGUUGUUUUGGGAUUUAA